rnacentral:rRNA from 1 species
GAUGAACGCUGGCGGCGUGCCUAACACAUGCAAGUCGAGCGAAGCGGGGACGGGUGAGUAACAUGUGGAUAACCUCCUAUAAGACUGGGAUAACAUCGGGAAACCGGAGUUAAACCGGAAACUUAGAGAUGGAUCCGCGCUGCAGUAGCUGGUUGGUAAGGUAACGGCUUACCAAGGCACCGAUUCCUAGCAGACCUGAGAGGGUGAUCAGCCACACUGGAACUGAGACACGGUCCAGAAUCCUACGGGAGGCAGCAGUAGGGAAUCUUCCGCAAGGGGCGAAAGCCUGACGGAGCAACGCCGCGUGUAUGAUGAAGGACUUCGGAUCGUAAAACUCUGUUAUUAUGGAGGCGGUACCUAAUCAGAAAGCCACGGCUAACUCCGUGCCAGCAGCCGCGGUAAUUC